AGUGAACGCUGGCGGCAGGCCUAACACAUGCAAGUCGAACGACAACACAGUAAGCUUUCGCCCUUACCGUUGGCGGCUGGCGGAUGGGUGACGCAUACAUCACAUUCUUAUUUUACUGGGGGGACAACGUAGAGACACUUAUGCUACCACCGCAUAUGACCUACGGCAUGAAUCAGUAGAUAAUGGCACUUUUCGUGAUUGUAUGAGACGAUGCCGCAUUAGCUAGUUGGCGUGGUAACGGCACACCAAGGCGACGAUCCGUAGCUGGCCUGAGAGGAUGAUCGGCCACACUGGAACUGAGACACGGUCCAGACUCCUACGGGAGGCAGCAGUGGGGAAUCUUCGGCAAUGGGCGAAAGCCUGACGCAGCCAUGCCGCGUGGGUGAUGAAGGUCUUCGGAUCGUAAAGCUCUUUUAUUGGGGAAGAACAGCUGCGUAAGUAACCCUCCCUGUCUUGACGGUACCUAAUGAGAAAGCACCGGCUAACUUCGUG
rnacentral:rRNA from 1 species